rfam:Triticum aestivum genome assembly, contig: Triticum_aestivum_CS42_TGACv1_scaffold_030316_1BL
UAUAUACUCCCUCCGUCCGGAAAUACUUGUCAAAGGAAUGGAUGUAUCUAGACAUAUCUUAGUUUUAGAUACAUCUAUUUUUAUCCAUUUCUCCGACAAGUAUUUUGGGACGGAGGGAGUACUAU